rnacentral:rRNA from 1 species
AACGAACGCUGGCGGCAGGCUUAACACAUGCAAGUCGAGCGCCCCGCAAGGGGAGCGGCAGACGGGUGAGUAACGCGUGGGAAUCUACCGAGCCCUACGGAAUAGCUCCGGGAAACUGGAAUUAAUACCGUAUACGCCCUACGGGGGACAGAUUUAUCGGGGUUUGAUGAGCCCGCGUUGGAUUAGCUAGUUGGUGGGGUAAAGGCCUACCAAGGCGACGAUCCAUAGCUGGUCUGAGAGGAUGAUCAGCCACAUUGGGACUGAGACACGGCCCAAACUCCUACGGGAGGCAGCAGUGGUGAAUAUUGGACAAUGGGCGCAAGCCUGAUCCAGCCAUGCCGCGUGAGUGAUGAAGGUCUUAGGAUUGUAAAGCUCUUUCACCGCUGAAGAUGAUGACGGUAACCGGAGAAGAAGCCCCGGCUAACUUCGUGCCAGCCGCCGCUGUAACAC